rfam:Aedes aegypti strain Liverpool supercont1.291 genomic scaffold, whole genome shotgun sequence.
GGCCCGGUAGCUUAGUUGAUAAAGCGCUCGUCUAGCAUACAAGAGUCCUGGGUUCGAAUCCCAGUUGAGCAC